GGGAAAUCUGGCAGCUUAACUGUCAGGCUUCUAAGAGAUACUGUCAGGCUUGGGACCGGGAGAGGUAAGGGGUACUCCAAGGGUAGGAGUGAAAUCUUGUAAUCCUUGGGGGACCAUCUGUGGCGAAGGCGCCUUACCAGAACGGGUCCGACGGUGAGGGACGAAAGCUAGGGGAGCAAACCGGAUUAGAUACCCGGGUAGUCCUAGCUGUAAACGAUGCUCGCUAGGUGUCAGGCACGGUGCGUCCGUGUUUGGUGCCGUAGGGAAGCCGAGAAGCGAGCCACCUGGGAAGUACGGUCGCAAGGCUGAAACUUAAAGGAAUUGGCGGGGGAGCACUACAACGGGUGGAGCCUGCGGUUUAAUUGGAUUCAACGCCGGAAAACUCACCGGGUGCGACAGCAACAUGUAGGUCAGGCUGAAGGUCUUACC
rnacentral:rRNA from 1 species